UACGAAGGGUGCAAGCGUUAAUCGGAAUUACUGGGCGUAAAGCGUGCGUAGGCGGUUCGUUAAGUCUGUCGUGAAAGCCCUGGGCUCAACCUGGGAAUGGCGAUGGAUACUGGCGAGCUAGAGUGCGGUAGAGGAUGGCGGAAUUCCCGGUGUAGCGGUGAAAUGCGUAGAGAUCGGGAGGAACAUCCGUGGCGAAGGCGGCCAUCUGGACCAGCACUGACGCUGAGGCACGAAAGCGUGGGGAGCAAACAGG
rnacentral:rRNA from 1 species